rnacentral:rRNA from 1 species
GACGAACGCUGGCGGCGUGCCUAACACAUGCAAGUCGAACGGAGUUAAGACUUCGGUUUAACUUAGUGGCGAACGGUGAGUAACGCGCGAGGAACCUACCUUUCAGUGGGGGACAACAGUUGGAAACGACUGCUAAUACCGCAUAACACGUACGGAUCGCAUGGUCUGUACAUCAAAAGCUUUAUGUGCUGAAAGGUGGCCUCGCGUCUGAUUACGAUAGUUGGUGAGGUAACGGCUCACCAAGUCGACGAUCAGUAGCCGGUCUGAGAGGAUGGACGGCCACAUUGGGACUGAGAUACGGCCCAG